AUGAGCCGGCAAUGGAUGUACGAUGACCGAUGCUCUCCCGAGUUCAUUAAUGGCGUGCGUACUUUUCUGCUUGCGGCUGAGGCAAACAAGCGGGCGGAUGGUUUUAUGCCUUCUCCAUGUGCUGGCUGUAAGAAUGGUUACAAUUACUCUACGUCAAGAACCAUUCACGUCCACCUGUUUGAGUCCGGUUUCAUGCCCCACUAUAAUGUUUGGACCAAGCAUGGAGAAAGAGGGGUUAUGAUGGAAGACAAUGAAGAAGAAGAGGACGACGACAGCUAUCCUGGCCAUGGGGUCCCUGAAUACGAUGAUACAACUAUGAGGGAAGAAGCUGAGCCGGCAAUGUGGGAAGAAGCUAGACCGGCAAUGCGGGAAGAAGCUGAAGAAGAGGCAUCAGAUGAGCCCGUUGAUGAUCUAGGUCGGGCCAUUGCCGAUGCAAAGAGAAACUGCGCAAGUGAUUUGGAGAAGAAGAAGUUGCAGCACAUGUUAGAGGAUCACAAAAAAUUGUUGUACCCGAAUUGCGUAGGUGACAAGAAAAAUCUGGGCACCACACUUGAAUUGCUACAAUGGAAGGCAGGGAAUGGUGUAUCUGACAAGGGAUUUGGAAAGUUGCUGGUAAUGAUAAAGAAUAUGCUUCCAAAGGAUAACGAAUUGCCCGAGAGUACAUACGAAGCAAAGAAGGCUGUCUGCCCUCUAGGGUUAGAGGUGCAGAAGACACAUGCAUGCCCUAAUGAUUGCAUCCUCUACCGCGGUGAGUACGAGGAUUUGAACGCUUGCCCGGUAUGCGGUGCAUUGCACUAUAAGAUCAGCGGUGAUGAACCUGGUGAUGUCGAGGGCGAGCGCCCCAGGAAGAAGAUUCCUGCCAAGGUGAUGUGGUAUGCUCCUAUAAUACUACGGUUGAAAAGUUUGUUCCAAAACAAAGAGCAUGCCAAGGUGAUGCGAUGGCAUAGAGAAGACCGUAAGAAAUACGGAAAGUUGAGAGUACCCGCUGACGGGUCGCAGUGGAGAAAAAUCGAAAGAAAGUACGGGAAGGAGUUUGCAGAUGACGCAAGGAACGUAUGGUUUGGUCUAAGCGCGGAUGGCAUUAAUCCUUUUGGGGAGCAAAGCAACAACCAUAGCACCUGGCCUGUGACUCUAUGUUUGUAUAACCUUCCUCCUUGGUUGUGCAUGAAGCGGAAGUUUAUUAUGACGCCAGUGCUCAUCCAUGGCCCUAAGCAACCCGGCAACGACAUUGAUGUGUACCUAAGGCCAUUAGUUGAAGAACUCUUACAACUGUGGAAUGGAAUAGCUGUACGUGCGUGGGAUGAGCACAUGGGGGAAGAAUUUGACCUCAAGGCGUUGCUGUUCGUGACCAACAAUGAUUGGCCUGCUCUUAGUAACCUUUCAGGACAGACAAACAAGAGAUACCACGCAUGCACGCACUAUUUGGACGAUACCGAUAGUAUAUAUUUGGCUAAUUGUAAGAAGAAUGUGUACCUGGGACAUCGUCGAUUUCUUCCGAGCAGGCAUCCCAUAAGAAAGAAAGGCAAGCAUUUCAAAGGUAAGGUCGUCCGUCUGACGAAGCCUCGCCACCGUACUAGUGCUGAUGUACAUGAUAUGGUCAAGGAUUUGAAGGUGGUCUUUGGAAAGGGUCCUGGUGGACAACCUGUUCCAAAUGACGCUGACGGACGUGCACCCAUGUGGAAGAAGAAAUCUAUAUUUUGGGACCUGCCCCAUUGGAAAGACCUAGAGGUCCGCUCCGCAAUCGACGUGAUGCAUGUGACGAAGAAUCUUUGUGUGACACUGCUUGGCUUCUUGGGCGUGUAUGGGAAGACAAAAGAUACACCUGAGGCACGGGAGGACCAGCAAUGUAUGCACGGAAAAGACGGCAUACAUCAGGGUCAUGCAAGCUACGCUCUUACCAAAGAAGAGAAGGAAAUCUUCUUUGAAUGCCUGCUCAGUAUUAAGGUACCGUCUGGCUUCUCGUCGAAUAUAAAGGGAAUAAUAAACAUGGCAGAGAAA
rnacentral:rRNA from 1 species